CACAAGUCUCGGGGCAGGGAGUUUUCGGGCUUGCAUACGCUCCAGCUUGGUCGCCGUUUCGGUGUGCAAGGGCCUCUCUCAUGCCUCUCGUGCAAAUGUGUCCGUGUGUGUGUGUGUGUGUGUGUACAUCUGAAGAUUCCU